UGCUGGCUUCAGGAGUAUAAUAAAAUGGGAUAAAUACAGAGAAGAUUAGCAUGGCCGCUGCCCAAAAAUUACAUGCAAACUCAUUCAGUGUUCCAUUUAAAA